rnacentral:rRNA from 1 species
UACGGGGGGGGCAAGCGUUGUUCGGAAUUACUGGGCGUAAAGGGCUCGUAGGCGGCCAACUAAGUCAGACGUGAAAUCCCUCGGCUUAACCGGGGAACUGCGUCUGAUACUGGAUGGCUUGAGGUUGGGAGAGGGAUGCGGAAUUCCAGGUGUAGCGGUGAAAUGCGUAGAUAUGUUACAGAACACCAAUUGUGAAGACAGCUAACUAAGCGAUGAUUGACGCUGAGGCACGAAAGCGUGGGGAGCAAACAGG